AUUGAACGCUGGCGGCAGGCCUAACACAUGCAAGUCGAGCGGAUGAAUGGAGCUUGCUCCUUGAUUCAGCGGCGUACGUGUGAGUAAUGCCUAGGAAUCUGCCUGCUAUUGGGGGAUAACGUCCGGAAACGGGCGCUAAUACCGCAUACGUUCUGAGGGAGGAAGUGGGGGAUCUUCGGACCUCACUCUAUCAGAUGAGUCUAGGUCGGAUUAGCUAGUUGGUGGUGUAAAGUCCUACCAAAGCGACGAUCCGUAACUUGUCUGAGAGGAUGAUCAGUCACACUGGCACUGAGCGACGGUGAGAAGUAAUACGGGAGCCAGCAGUGGGGAAUAUUGCACAAGGUGUGAGAAACACAUCCCGCCAUCCACUGUGUGUGAAGACGGUCUUCAGAUUGUAAAGCGUUGUAAGUUGAGAGGAAGGGAAGUAAGUUGAUACCUUGUUGUUUUGACGUUACCAACAGAAGCAGGAGCCGCGAACUGAGU
rnacentral:rRNA from 1 species